rnacentral:rRNA from 1 species
GACGAACGCUGGCGGCGUGCUUAACACAUGCAAGUCGAACGAUGAAGAAAAGAAUCGAAGCUUCGGCAGAAAUUCAUUUCGGAUUAGUGGCAGACGGGUGAGUAACGCGUGAGCAACCUACCUCUUACAAAGGGAUGGCCUCGGGAAACCGGGAUUAAUACCAUAUAACAUUGUGACGAAGCAUUUCGAUGCAAUCAAAGCUACGGCGGUAAGAGAUGGGCUCGCGUCCCAUUAACCGGAUGGUGAGGUAACGGCUCACCAUAGUGACGAUGGGUAACCGGCCUGAGAGGGUGAACGGUCACACUGGAACUGAGACACGGUCCAGACUCCUACGGGAGGCAGCAGUGGGGAAUAUUGCACAAUGGAGGGAACUCUGAUGCAGCGACGCCGCGUGAGUGAUGAAGGAAUUCGUUUCGUAAAACUCUGUUCUAUGGGAAGAAAAGGACUGUACCAUAGGAGAAAGCUCCGGCUAAAUACGUG